AACGAACGCUGGCGGCGCGUUUUAAGCAUGCAAGUCGAACGGUAGAGAAACUUCGGUUUCUUGAGAGUGGCGAACGGGUGAGUAACACGUAGAUGAUCUGCCUUGAAGUUGGGGAUAGCCUAUAGAAAUAUAGGGUAAUACCGAAUAAUUUUUUACCACUAUGGUGGUUUAAGGAAAGGGGCUUCGGCCUCGCUUUAAGAUGAGUCUGCGGUCUAUUAGCUAGUUGGUAGGGUAAUAGCCUACCAAGGCGACGAUAGAUAGCCGGCCUGAGAGGGUGACCGGCCACAUUGGGACUGAGACACGGCCCAAACUCCUACGGGAGGCAGCAGCUAAGAAUCUUCCGCAAUGGGCAAAGCCUGACGGAGCGACGCCGCGUGGACGAAGAAUGCCGAGAGGUUGUAAAGUCCUUUUAUUUGCGAAGAAUAAUGCCUGUAGGUAAUGACAGGCAGAUGACGUUAGCUUAUGAAUAAGCUCCGGCCAAUUACGUG
rnacentral:rRNA from 1 species